CUUUCACGCCGGGAUCCGGGUCCCGGUGCUUCUCGGUUCAUUCCCAGCUGGGUCCGGGCCCGGCCAGACUGGGUGGAAAUCUGGCUGACCUUGGUGGUCUGUCUUGGCCAGCUGGAGCAAAGGGAUGCCAGGGGACGGGUCUCGGUGCAGUGACUGCCAUUAGCUUGGGGCCGCAGAAAGUUUCUCCCCUUUCUCGGGCUCCUGCCAGGCCCUUGGCUUUCAGAGCCAGGCCCGAUUUCUAGAUAACAUUUAAGUUUGCAGAAAAGGGGAUGCCAAGUCACGGUGGUCACGGCUGUGGGAUGCAGCCUCUGAGAUUUGUAUUAAUUUUUGUGAGCCGGGGAAAGGCCUUGCUGCUUUCUCCGCCAGGACUGAUGUGUCUUCCCAAGAUGAAAGUGCCUGGUAAGGGCGAGGGGCCUCCCUGGGAAGGUCAUGAGCAUGUAAGGUAAUGGGGCCUAGACUGUGACUUUUGGCACGUUUAUGAGUGACAUCCCCCGGGAGGGCAAGGAUAACCAUUUGACCUGGUCUGUCAUAUUCAGGAAUAGACUUCAGUUUAGUUGUGGUAUUUUCUCCAAAAGAGAUUUGUGUAUAUAGCCCUAGAUAGUCUUGUCAAGAUUAAACCCAAUUUAAACUGUUAACUAUAAAAUAUUUUAGAAUUUUGUCUCAUUCUAGAAUGGCUUUAUUCGAAACAAAAAAAAAGGAAGAGUCCCAAGUUUCGUCUCAGUGAAACCUGCCAGUUCAACACUAUGAUUUAUUUUUCUUUUUUUCUUUAAUUUUUUUUUUUUUUAAGAGUAGGGUCUUGCUCUGUCGCUGGGUUUACAGGCAUAAGCCACCAAUCCCAAAUCCCGGGGCUAUGAUUUUUGAAAUCAUGUUCGUGAGAAGGCAGAGCACAUGUGUUGAGAGUCAGACUUUAAACCUGGGUUCAAAUCAUUAGUGCUUAAUCAUUGUAAAGCAGUUAGGAGGUUGCGUUCAACAUAGCAAUUAUCAAAG
rnacentral:lncRNA from 1 species